UGCCAGUGAUAAACUGGAGGAAGGUGGGGAUGACGUCAAGUCAUCAUGGCCCUUACGACCAGGGCUACACACGUGCUACAAUGGCAUAUACAAAGAGAAGCGACCUCGCGAGAGCAAGCGGACCUCAUAAAGUAUGUCGUAGUCCGGAUUGGAGUCUGCAACUCGACUCCAUGAAGUCGGAAUCGCUAGUAAUCGUAGAUCAGAAUGCUACGGUGAAUACGUUCCCGGGCCUUGUACACACCGCCCGUCACACCAUGGGAGUGGGUUGCAAAAGAAGUAGGU
rnacentral:rRNA from 1 species